rnacentral:rRNA from 1 species
CGCGCAGGCGGUUCGGUAAGUCGGUCUUAAAAGUGCGGGGCUUAACCCCCGUGAUGGGAUUGAAACUGCCGGACUGGAGUGUCGGAGAGGAAAGCAGAAUUCCUAGUGUAGCGGUGAAAUGCGUAGAUAUUAGGAGGAAUACCAGUGGCGAAAGCGACUUACUGGCCUGCAACUGACACUGAGGCACGAAAGCGUGGGGAGGCAAAACA